ACGACUCUCGGCAACGGAUAUCUCGGCUCUCGCAUCGAUGAAGAACGCAGCGAAAUGCGAUACUUGGUGUGAAUUGCAGAAUCCCGUGAACCAUCGAGUCUUUGAACGCAAGUUGCGCCCGAGGCUAUCCGGCCGAGGGCACG
rnacentral:rRNA from 1 species